rnacentral:misc_RNA from 1 species
UGUGCGAGCAGUUUGGUCAUCGAGCGGGUCUUCUCGUAGACGCGUCCGCCGUCGGCGAAGCGAUUGGCGUCGAGCCAGGUGGUUCGGAGGCAGAUCGGAAUGCGGUUCGCCAUGCGCAGAGCAUCGAUCCGCAGCAACGGCGCAUCCGUCUUGAGUCCGAGUCGCUUGGCCAGGUCACGCGUCGCCGGUUCGACUGACGCACUCAGCAAUUGUCCACU